GCAGCAUCACGUGUGUUGUCAUUCCCAAAAAAUCCAAAAAUAGGCAAAGAGGUGGAGCUAAGAGGGAGACUGUGAAGAUGGGGCUGGAUGAUUGACAUCCAUCAAACUCCAAGCUGCCUGUAGCUAAGAGCUAACUGAGCAAACCUGGAGCUAACGGUAGCUGGUUAGCUGUUUAUA